rnacentral:lncRNA from 1 species
GCAAGGUCACAAAUGGAUACAUGAUCACAUAACCUAGCACCAAAUAAAAUCCAGCCAAGCACAACUUUGGAAAUCAUGAUCAUUAAAAAACAGACAAACCAAGGAACAAUUAGCAAAAAAUUGGAGAUGAAUUGAUGCAUUUUUCAAUUUAUUAUGGCUUUUCUAAGUUGAUAAAAAAAAUAAAAAACAAAAUGGACAUGGCAUUGGAAAAGUGGA